AAUAUUAGACAACGGGGGCAACCCUGAUCCAGCCACGCCGCGUGUGUGAAGAAGGUCUUCGGAUUGUAAAGCACUUUUAGUAGGGAGGAAGGGCAGUACGUUAAUACCUUGCUGUUUUGACGUUACCGACAGAAUAAGCACCGGCUAACUUCGUGCCAGCAGCCGCGGUAAUUCGAAGGGUGCACGCGUUAAUCGGAAUUACUGGGCGUAAAGCGGGAGUAAGUGGUUUGUUAAAUUGGAAGGGAAAGCCCCGGGGUCAACCUGGGAACUGCUUUCAAAAAUGGCAAGCUAGAGGAUGGCAGAGGGUGGUGGAAUUUCCUGUGUAGCGGUGAAAUGCGUAGAUAUAGGAAGGAACACCAGUGGCGAAGGCGACUACCUGGACUGAUACUGACACUGAGGUGCGAAAGCGUGGGGAGCAAAC
rnacentral:rRNA from 1 species